GCAUUGGUGGUUCAGUGGUAGAGUUCCCGCCUUCCAUGCGGGAGACCCAGGUUCGACUCCUGCCAGCGCA
rnacentral:tRNA from 1 species